GAUGAACGCUGGCGGCGUGCCUAAUACGUGCAAGUCGAGCGAACGGACGAGAAGCUUGCUUCUCUGAUGUUAGCGGCGGACGGGUGAGUAACACGGGGAUAACCUACCUAUAAGACUGGGAUAACUUCGGGAAACCGGAGCUAAUACCGGAUAAUAUUUUGAACCGCAUGGUUCAAAAGUGAAAGACGGUCUUGCUGUCACUUAUAGAUGGAUCCGCGCUGCAUUAGCUAGUUGGUAAGGUAACGGCUUACCAAGGCAACGAUGCAUAGCCGACCUGAGAGGGUGAUCGGCCACACUGGAACUGAGACACGGUCCAGACUCCUACGGGAGGCAGCAGUAGGGAAUCUUCCGCAAUGGGCGAAAGCCUGACGGAGCAACGCCGCGUGAGUGAUGAAGGUCUUCGGAUCGUAAAACUCUGUUAUUAGGGAAGAACAUAUGUGUAAGUAACUGUGCACAUCUUGACGGUACCUAAUCAGAAAGCCACGGCUAACUACGUG
rnacentral:rRNA from 1 species